rnacentral:misc_RNA from 1 species
AUGACCACAAAUUUGUCGCUUUUCGUCGAGUUCAAUAAAAUAGCACUUCAAUAUUCGUCACUGGCGUUAGUCUGAAGAAUUCUUUUCCUUGCGCUUGGAAUUUUUAGAGGAGGGGGUUUUUGAGCUAUUUUCUUCAAAACUUUUGCAGCUAUGGUAUGUUCAUUAUCCCAAGUGGGGGCCCUCUUUUUUAGCAUCUUGGAAAACUGGCUAAUAUAUUUGAACACAUGAGGGAUAAAUUCUUUAAGAUAGUUGAUAAAUCCAAGAAAUUGCUGAAUUUGCUUGACAGUGAGAUCUGUAUCCGGGAAUUUGAGCAAUUCUUGAGCAAUGUGUGGUCCAGUCUGGUACAUCCCAUUUUCAAAUUUCAUUCUAAGGAAUUCAAUAUCAGUUUGGGCCCAGUAGCUCUUCUUUUCAAAUA